UGCCGUUACAGGGCAUGUUCACAGGUAGAAGGUCGUGAAAACACGAGUUACGGGUUGCCUGGAACGCAGCAUAACACAGCCCUCUCCAAUUGGUGGAGGAG